rnacentral:rRNA from 1 species
UACGAAGGGGGCUAGCGUUGCUCGGAAUUACUGGGCGUAAAGCGCACGUAGGCGGCUUUGUAAGUUAGAGGUGAAAGCCCGGGGCUCAACCCCGGAACAGCCUUUAAGACUGCAUCGCUUGAACGUCGGAGAGGUGAGUGGAAUUCCGAGUGUAGAGGUGAAAUUCGUAGAUAUUCGGAAGAACACCAGUGGCGAAGGCGGCUCACUGGACGACUGUUGACGCUGAGGUGCGAAAGCGUGGGGAGCAAACAGG